rnacentral:rRNA from 1 species
CCUACGGGAGGCAGCAGUGGGGAAUAUUGGACAAUGGGGGGAACCCUGAUCCAGCCAUGCGGCGUGUGUGAAGAAGGCCCUCGGGUUGUAAAGCACUUUCAGUGAGGAAGAACGCCUGGUGGUUAAUACCCAUCAGGAAAGACAUCACUCACAGAAGAAGCACCGGCUAACUCCGUGCCAGCAGCCGCGGUAAUACGGAGGUUGCGAGCGUUAAUCGGAAUUACUGGGCGUAAAGCGCGCGUAGGUGGCUUGAUAAGCCGGUUGUGAAAGCCCCGGGCUCAACCUGGGAACGGCAUCCGGAACUGUCAAGCUAGAGUGCAGGAGAGGACGGUAGAAUUCCCGGUGUAGCGGUGAAAUGCGUAGAGAUCGGGAGGAAUACCAGUGGCGAAGGCGGCCUUCUGGACUGACACUGACACUGAGGUGCGAAAGCGUGGGUAGCAAACAGGAUUAGAUACCCGGGUAGUC